rnacentral:rRNA from 1 species
AACGAACGCUGGCGGCAGGCCUAACACAUGCAAGUCGAACGGAUGUAGCAAUACAUUAGUGGCGCACGGGUGCGUAACACGUGGGAAUGUACCCCAGGGUAAGGAAUAAUGUCCGGAAACGGACACUAAUACCUUAUAAUGACUUUGGUCCAAAGAUUUAUCGCCCUGGGAUCAGCCCGCGCCUGAUUAGCUAGUUGGUGAGGUAAUGGCUCACCAAGGCUACGAUCAGUAGCUGGUCUGAGAGGAUGAUCAGCCACACUGGAACUGAGACACGGUCCAGACUCCUACGGGAGGCAGCAGUGAGGAAUAUUGCACAAUGGAGAAACUCUGAUGCAGCCAUGCCGCGUGAGUGAAGAAGGCCUUCGGGUUGUAAAGCUCUUUUAGUCGUGAAGAUAAUGACGGUAGCGACAGAAAAAGCCCCGGCUAAAUUCGUGCCAGCCGCCGCGGUAA